GUGAGUGGGGUGGCGUGGGGCUGGAGGGCACCUCCCGGUGCUGUGCCCCUUACCCCCCAUUCCUCCA
rnacentral:misc_RNA from 1 species